AGGAGUCACUAUGACCUGGACUACAAGCUGUACAGCGAAGAUGUCCUCUACGGUAGGGUGUAUGAAUACCCAAGGAUCCCUCCACUCAUCAAUCGCGUGCCUGUUAAGAUCCGGAGGACCCAGCUGGGCUUGGGAGUCAAGAGCAGCUUCAGUGCCCACAAGGGUGCCAGGAAGAGCCACCUGCCCCAAGAGCAAAUAAAGCUCCAGACUGAGGAGCUGCACUCCAUCAGGGGCGAGCUAAGCCAGAUCAAAGCCCAGGUGGACCGUCUACUGGAGAAUCUGGAGCGCAUGGACCAGCAGAGGGACCAGCUUCCAGGGUCAGAGGACAGUGAAGAAACCAGGGGCCCAGGGAGUAAGGGUUCUUCAUGCAGAAUCAAUGAACUCCAGCAGGAGCCCAGGGGCCAGAGGGCCCAUCCCGAAGCAGACAGCUCUGAGGACAGCACGACCCAGAGGAGGCAGUGAGUGGCCUGGCGCCUCCCCUCACCCUCACCCUCCUUGCGUUUGGCUCCUUGCGGCCUCCCUGUGAGCAAGGGAGGGCCUCAGGUCCGUGCAGGAGCCCACAGCGGUGGUUGAGGGGAGACAUGUGACGUCCACCCCAUACAAUCCCCAGAAGAUGGGCCCUGCACUGCUUUUUAUCCUCUCUCGACACUGGCUGGAUGAGCUCAGGGGACUAGGGGCUUGUUCUGGCUUAAAAUACCAUCUUCUCCUGGAAGCUGGGAAGUGUACUUUGAGCAGUGCAGAAUGGCCCCAGACCCCUGGCCUGAGGCCCCAGAACCCGUUAAAACCCACUUCUGCCUUUUUCCUGCCCCGCCCCAUCUUGUCGGGUACCAUGCUCCCUGGGGAGGAGCCCUACCUGCCCUACCAUAUCCUCCCCCCUUACUGGUGCUCCCUGCGGCAGGCCAAGCCCCACGUUUGUUUGGGCCAUCUCUGCGAGGUCCGGGAUGCUGAGGGGCUGGCAGUAAUGAGCCUUCCUUCCUCCAUUUGCCCGGCUCUGCCCCUUGGACUGCUGGGCUCUGGAGGGCCCUUACUGCUGCCCGGGCCUGAGUCACAUCCGGGAAAAGGCGACGCUCCAUGAAGGGAAUGCUCUGGUGGUUCUGGAUUCCCAGGCGUCAGGAAGAAUCUAGAGUAGCACCGAGCUGGCAGAGCUGCUGAGGAAGGGACGUGGGGCUGAGGGAAGAGGUGAGCAGGCAGGCCUACGCUUCCCAGCCAUCCCCUGCCUCUCAGCUCUCCUGGCCAGAGUCCUGCUUCGGUUUUUCCUACAGGGAUAGAAUCCGGCACUGGAUCGGAGGGCAGCCUGUAGAAGGGUGGAAGCCCUCCAGGCUCCUUCCCAGGUGGCUCCCUUCCUUGCCUCGUGUGGGUUUCUGAAGGCCUCCCGGGGGUGACUGUACGACCAGAGGUACCCAUUCUGGAAUGAGUACGGUGAAAGCAGAGGCAACGUUCAGUGAGACCAGCCAGGAAGCCUCCCCGUAACGGUGGCUUUUGCUUUGGAGGUCGUGUUUCCAGAUAGGGGCUGGGAGGGAGGCCGGCAGCUGCCUAGCACAAGCUCACCAUCCUCAUGAAGCCGAGGCUGUCUUGCAAGGGGCAGCGCCCAGGCCCCCCUUGGGUGCACGUCAGCCCCUGGGGACUGCCGGUACCACUCUGGCUGCUCUUCCCCGCCCCCCCACCC